GACGAACGCUGGCGGCGUGCUUAACACAUGCGAGUCGAGCGGAAAGGCCCUGCUUUUGUGGGGUGCUCGAGUGGCGAACGGGCGAGUAACACGUGAGUAACCUGCCCUUGACUUUGGGAUAACUUCAGGAAACUGGGGCUAAUACCGGAUAGGAGCUCCUGCUGCAUGGUGGGGGUUGGAAAGUUUCGGCGGUUGGGGAUGGACUCGCGGCUUAUCAGCUUGUUGGUGGGGUAGUGGCUUACCAAGGCUUUGACGGGUAGCCGGCCUGAGAGGGUGACCGGCCACAUUGGGACUGAGAUACGGCCCAGACUCCUACGGGAGGCAGCAGUGGGGAAUAUUGCACAAUGGGCGGAAGCCUGAUGCAGCAACGCCGCGUGCGGGAUGACGGCCUUCGGGUUGUAAACCGCUUUCGCCUGUGACGAAGCGUGAGUGACGGUAAUGGGUAAAGAAGCACCGGCUAACUACGUG
rnacentral:rRNA from 1 species